ACGUUCUUGUAAAAUCGGAUCCAUAGUAGCAGUGCCAUCUCCAUGAAUAUCAUUGAGAUUACUUCCAACGUCAAUGCAGACCGAUGCAUUGCCAACAAAUGGAAACUUAGCUUGAGAGGACGAGCUGGCAUAACCAGCCGAAGGAGAGGUUCCGAGGCCUGUCUCUCCCACUUUCAUCCAUUGAUUUGUCGUUCGAUGUGCUUGCGAAAGCGGGUCCAUAGUAACAGUGCCAUCUCCAUGAACCAUGUCAACGCGAUUCGUAAUUGACCCACCAUCAAGUGCAAACCAAGCUUGAGAGGACGUGGCACUCGAAGAGUACUCUGCUGGAGAUUUAUUGAGUUGAUUUGAGUUGGCAUAACCAGCCGAAGCAGAGGUUCCCAGGACUGUCUCUCCCACUUUCAUCCCUUGAUCCAUCGUUCGACGUGCUUGCGAAAGUGGAUUCAUAGUAGCAGUGCCAUCUCCAUGAACCAUGUCAACGCACACCGUC
rnacentral:lncRNA from 1 species